rnacentral:rRNA from 1 species
GAUGAACGCUGGCGGCAUGCCUAAUACAUGCAAGUCGAACGAAUUUUACCUUUUAGGUAAAUUAGUGGCGAACGGGUGAGUAACACGUAGAUAACCAACCCUUAAGACGAGGAUAACCCGGGGAAACCUGGACUAAUACUGGAUAGGAGUUAUAUUCAAUAAGAAGAUAAUUUUAAAGGUGCUUUCAAGCAGCGCUUAAGGAUGGGACUGCGUCGCAUUAGCUAGUUGGUGGGGUAACGGCCCACCAAGGCAACGAUGCGUAGCUGCGCUGAGAGGCGGAACAGCCACACUGGGACUGAGACACGGCCCAGACUCCUACGGGAGGCAGCAGUAGGGAAUUUUCGGCAAUGGACGAAAGUCUGACCGAGCAAUGCCGCGUGAACGAAGAAGGUCUUCGGAUUGUAAAGUUCUGUUAUUGGGAAAGAAGUACAUAUUAGGAAAUGAGUAUGUAUUGACGGUACCCAUUGAGGAAGCCCGGCUAACUACGUG